rnacentral:snRNA from 1 species
AUUGCUUCUUGGCCUUUUGGCGAAGAUCAAGCAUAGUACUGGCUCUUGUCAGUUUAAUAUUUGAUAUAUCCUCUAACUAUCUUAAAAAUCAGCCAUUUUUAAGGAUAUUUCUGAGAAGCUCCACUCUUAGAUGUCAUUGGCUUAAAGAGUAUCACAUGACCAUUCUUAACUGCAAAGGAGUA